rnacentral:lncRNA from 1 species
GCUGACCCCGCCCCCAGCCGCCGCCAUCUUGUUGUUUUCCCCGGUCCCUCCUGGCUGGCCACGUGGCGCGGCGCUGCGGAAGCGAAGGCACCGCCCCAACUUCCGGCAGGACUGGUUCCAGACGCCCGCGGGACGCAGACGCGCGGCUGCCCCCUGGUGGCUGGCCUCGGGGCUCCGGCCGCACCCUGCCCCGCCUUCCUCCGCCAUUUCAUUGCCUGCCCGCCGCACGUCCGCGCCCCGCUGCCAGCGUUGGCGCAGCCGCGCGCUCCGAGGGCGGGGCUGUUCCGCACACCACGUCAGGUAUUGUGCCAGGAAGUUUAUAACACUACCUACUUGUUACACGAGCAAAGGGAGUGUAAGCUGCUUUCCCAUGGUCACCAGCUAAGGAGGAGACCUGAAUUCAACACCAGAAGACCUAAUGAAUGUCUACCAUGGCCAGUUGAGAGAUCUCAGACUGCCACAGGCCUGACUGGUUGUAUUUUGGAGAUGUCUGUAGCUGGACUGCCUAGGUCUGUGCAUGUGUAACCCGUGGUGGAGGCCUCUCAUUACCCUGCCAGGGUUGGGAUACCUGUCUCCUCUCCGUCUGGCCUUCUGGCUGGCUCCCUCUAAUCUAGUUUCCAAGUGGAAGCCAGAGCCCGCCUAAUAACAAGAUAGGAGGUCUGUGUGCUGCAUAAAUCUUUAGUUGCUCUUGCUUCUUACAGAAUAAAAUCUGUUCUUUAGCAGGGUAUGUGGG